rnacentral:rRNA from 1 species
UGGUUAAGUUAGAAAGGGCGCACGGUGGAUGCCUUGACACUAGGAGUCGAUGAAGGACGGGACUAACGCCGAUAUGCUUCGGGGAGCUGUAAGUAAGCUUUGAUCCGAAGAUUUCCGAAUGGGGAAACCCACCAUACGUAAUGGUAUGGUAUCCUUAUCUGAAUACAUAGGGUAAGGAAGACAGACCCAGGGAACUGAAACAUCUAAGUACCUGGAGGAAGAGAAAGCAAAUGCGAUUUCCUGAGUAGCGGCGAGCGAAACGGAACAUAGCCCAAACCAAGAGGCUUGCCUCUUGGGGUUGUAGGACAUUCUAUACGGAGUUACAAAGGAACGAGGUAGACGAAGCGACCUGGAAAGGUCCGUCGUAGAGGGUAACAACCCCGUAGUCGAAACUUCGUUCUCUCUUGAAUGUAUCCUGAGUACGGCGGAACACGUGAAAUUCCGUCGGAAUCUGGGAGGACCAUCUCCCAAGGCUAAAUACUCCCUAGUGAUCGAUAGUGAACCAGUACCGUGAGGGAAAGGUGAAAAGCACCCCGGAAGGGGAGUGAAAGAGAUCCUGAAACCGUGUGCCUACAAAUAGUCAGAGCCCGUUAACGGGUGAUGGCGUGCCUUUUGUAGAAUGAACCGGCGAGUUACGAUCCCGUGCGAGGUUAAGCUGAAGAGGCGGAGCCGCAGCGAAAGCGAGUCUGAAUAGGGCGUUUAGUACGUGGUCGUAGACCCGAAACCAGGUGAUCUACCCAUGUCCAGGGUGAAGUUCAGGUAACACUGAAUGGAGGCCCGAACCCACGCACGUUGAAAAGUGCGGGGAUGAGGUGUGGGUAGCGGAGAAAUUCCAAUCGAACCUGGAGAUAGCUGGUUCUCCCCGAAAUAGCUUUAGGGCUAGCCUUAAGUGUAAGAGUCUUGGAGGUAGAGCACUGAUUGGACUAGGGGUCCUCAUCGGAUUACCGAAUUCAGUCAAACUCCGAAUGCCAAUGACUUAUCCUUAGGAGUCAGACUGCGAGUGAUAAGAUCCGUAGUCAAAAGGGAAACAGCCCAGACCGCCAGCUAAGGUCCCAAAGUGUGUAUUAAGUGGAAAAGGAUGUGGAGUUGCUUAGACAACUAGGAUGUUGGCUUAGAAGCAGCCACCAUUUAAAGAGUGCGUAAUAGCUCACUAGUCGAGUGACUCUGCGCCGAAAAUGUACCGGGGCUAAAUACACCACCGAAGCUGCGGAUUGAUACCAAUGGUAUCAGUGGUAGGGGAGCGUUCUAAGGACAGUGAAGUCAGACCGUAAGGACUGGUGGAGUGCUUAGAAGUGAGAAUGCCGGUAUGAGUAGCGAAAGACGGGUGAGAAUCCCGUCCACCGAAUGCCUAAGGUUUCCUGAGGAAGGCUCGUCCGCUCAGGGUUAGUCAGGACCUAAGCCGAGGCCGACAGGCGUAGGCGAUGGACAACAGGUUGAUAUUCCUGUACCACCUCUUUAUCGUUUGAGCAAUGGAGGGACGCAGAAGGAUAGAAGAAGCGUGCGAUUGGUUGUGCACGUCCAAGCAGUUAGGCUGAUAAGUAGGCAAAUCCGCUUAUCGCGUA